rnacentral:misc_RNA from 1 species
CCGAGUUUUUACAACUCCCAAACCCAUGCGAACGUUACCAUCUGUUGCUUCGGCGGAUCGCCCCGCGGCCCCUCGGGGCCCGGAGCCAGGCGCCCGCCGAGGACCCCAAACUCUUCUGUAUUUUUAGUUGCAUCUUCUGAGUGGAUUUAAACAAAUGAAUCA